UCUAAUAACUUGCCGCCGUUGAACACGACCACAAGAAGCGUCGUGUAGUCAUUAUCAGCUUCAAAGUAAAGUACAUAAUAACAACACAUAAUCUUCCUGCGUUUAACAUUAUACAGAAAUUACGUUUACGCUCCCAGUGGCUGCUUUUCAUUGUUUUUCAACGAAAUGAAUGGAGAACACGCACAGAGGGGAAAAGUUCACCCUAACAAGAAGCUUAGACUCUCUUCGAUCAAUCAGUAACUGAGAAUCCCAAACAAAAAACCUCACAGACCUACAGGUGGGUAACAUCCCCUUCAGACCUCCAUUCACUCAUGAAUAGAAAAAUAGGCUCCACCGUACAAUUACAUGAUUGAUUUAAAAACUUUUCAUAGGAAAACAACAAACUAAAAUGCAAACAAUAUUUUCUCAUUCAUUAGUCAGAACAUUUUAUUUUAUACAAUCUUUAAAAAGCCUAUACAAAAACAGUUUCUGAAGGAGGCAGUCCAUUUAGGCAUACAAAUGAUUUUUUUUGUCCUUUUGGGGUGACUUCUGAUCACUUUAAUGUUUGUGGUGCUUUUAGAUGAAUACAUUUGUUGUCAAAUAUUUUAAAGUGAAAGAAAUCCUAAAUCUCCUUCAUGUGGGUGAUGGCAGAAUUCUCUUUUAAGGUAACUGUUCAGUUCUUAUUUAGUGCUCAGUACAUUUCUAAAUUUUUGCUUUAGCACUUGUUAUUUCAGUCACAUAAAUUUAACCCCAUGGAAAACAAUUUUUAUUUCUGGCAUCAUAACAUGAUCAUAGGACAAUAUCUGUGUUCAGUGGAAAAAGCCACACUAUCUCUGCUGUCUGAUGACCCUUUUGAUUCAAGAGAGUUUGAGUGUUUCAUCUUGUCAAAGGAGUUUUAAUCAUGGUUAAAAUGGAGGGAUAUAAACUCCUUGUAUGCCCACCCCCCCAUGUUGCCAGUGACAACAUAUUAAUGCUACUGUGAUAUAUCCUUCAUCUAAAACAUUAAAAAGAGCGGAAAGUUUUUGAAAUAAUCUCUGGAUAGAAAGCGAGGCUAAAGCUUGAACUUGUAUAUCUGGACAGAAAGUCUUUAAAAGCUUUAAGCUUGAAACGCAUUCCAAUUAAAGACUGAACAAUACCAUGACAUUACUGUAAAGGAAUAAUUUCUUGUAAAUUACUAAACCCUUUGAUUGUAGUAUUUACUCAUUUCACAACUGAAAAACAGCUACUCUAAACCUAUUGUUGAUUACAGCGGCAGUAACACCAUGAAACAACUGAACGCAUUUAGACAAUCUGAAAAA